AGUCGCAUAGCUCAGUUGGUUAGAGCACCACCUUGACAUGGUGGGGGUCGGUGGUUCGAGUCCACUUGCGACUACCA
rnacentral:tRNA from 1 species